GACGAACGCUGGCGGCGUGCUUAACACAUGCCAGUCGAACGGAAAGGCCCUGCUUUUGUGGGGUGCUCGAGUGGCGAACGGGUGAGUAACACGUGAGUAACCUGCCCUUGACUUUGGGAUAACUUCAGGAAACUGGGGCUAAUACCGGAUAGGAGCUCCUGCUGCAUGGUGGGGGUUGGAAAGUUUCGGCGGUUGGGGAUGGACUCGCGGCUUAUCAGCUUGUUGGUGGGGUAGUGGCUUACCAAGGCUUUGACGGGUAGCCGGCCUGAGAGGGUGACCGGCCACAUUGGGUCUGAGAUACGGCCCAGACUCCUACGGGAGGCAGCAGUGGGGAAUAUUGCACAAUGGGCGGAAGCCUGAUGCAGCAACGCCGCGUGCGGGAUGACGGCCUUCGGGCUGUAAACCGCUUUCGCCUGUGACGAAGCGUGAGUGACGGUAAUGGGUAAAGAAGCACCGGCUAACUACGUG
rnacentral:rRNA from 1 species